AGUGAACGCUGGCGGUAGGCCUAACACAUGCAAGUCGAACGGCAGCACAGUAAGAGCUUGCUCUUACGGGUGGCGAGUGGCGGACGGGUGAGGAAUACAUCGGAGUCUACUUUUUCGUGGGGGAUAACGUAGGGAAACUUACGCUAAUACCGCAUACGACCUACGGGUGAAAGCAGGGGAUCUUCGGACCUUGCGCGAUUGAAUGAGCCGAUGUCGGAUUAGCUAGUUGGCGGGGUAAAGGCCCACCAAGGCGACGAUCCGUAGCUGGACUGAGAGGAUGAUCAGCCACACUGGAACUGAGACACGGUCCAGACUCCUACGGGAGGCAGCAGUGGGGAAUAUUGGACAAUGGGCGCAAGCCUGAUCCAGCCAUACCGCGUGGGUGAAGAAGGCCUUCGGGUUGUAAAGCCCUUUUGUUGGGAAAGAAAAGCAGCAGGUUAAUACCCCGCUGUUCUGACGGUACCCAAAGAAUAAGCACCGGCUAACUUCGUG
rnacentral:rRNA from 1 species